rnacentral:tRNA from 1 species
GACAGUUUAGCUUAAUGGUAAAGCACAUGACGCGUAAUCACAUGGUUGUGAGUUCGAGUCUCAUGGCUGGCC